rnacentral:rRNA from 1 species
AAUAGAUACCCUGGUAGUCCACGCCGUAAACGAUGUCGACUUGGAGGUUGUUCCCUUGAGGAGUGGGCUUCCGGAGCUAACGCGUUAAGUCGACCGCCUGGGGAGUACGGCCGCAAGGUUAAAACUCAAAUGAAUUGACGGGGGCCCGCACAAGCGGUGGAGCAUGUGGUUUAAUUCGAUGCAACGCGAAGAACCUUACCUACUCUUGACAUCCAGAGAACUUAGCAGAGAUGCUUUGGUGCCUUCGGGAACUCUGAGACAGGUGCUGCAUGGCUGUCGUCAGCUCGUGUUGUGAAAUGUUGGGUUAAGUCCCGCAACGAGCGCAACCCUUAUCCUUUGUUGCCAGCGGUUCGGCCGGGAACUCAAAGGAGACUGCCAGUGAUAAACUGGAGGAAGGUGGGGAUGACGUCAAGUCAUCAUGGCCCUUACGAGUAGGGCUACACACGUGCUACAAUGGCGUAUACAAAGAGAAGCGACCUCGCGAGAGCAAGCGGACCUCAUAAAGUACGUCGUAGUCCGGAUUGGAGU